GUAGGUGGCAAGCGUUGUCCGGAAUUAUUGGGCGUAAAGCGCGCGCAGGCGGUUCUUUAAGUCUGAUGUGAAAGCCCACGGGCUCAACCGUGGAGGGUCAUUGGAAACUGGAGAACUUGAGUACAGAAGAGGAAAGCGGAAUUCCACGUGUAGCGGUGAAAUGCGUAGAGAUGUGGAGGAACACCAGUGGCUAAGGCGGCUUUCUGGUCUGUAACUGACGCUGAGGCGCGAAAGCGUGGGGAGCAAACAGGAUUAGAUACCCUAGUAGUCCACGCCGUAAACGAUGAGUGCUAAGUGUUAGGGGGUUUCCGCCCCUUAGUGCUGCAGCUAACGCAUUAAGCACUCCGCCUGGGGAGUACGGCCGCAAGGCUG
rnacentral:rRNA from 1 species